GCUAAAUGCAGUCGGACGGUAGCACAGAGAAGUUGGUUCCUCGGGAGACGAGUGGCAGACGGGUGAGUAGUGUGUGGAGAUCUGCCAGAUAGAGGGAGAUAACCUGUGGAAACGGGGGCUAAUACCGCAUAACGUCACAAGACCAAAGAGGGAGACCUUCGGCCCUCUCUCUAUCAGAUGAACCCAUAUGGUAUUAUCUAGUGGGGGGGGUAACGCCCCCCCUACGACAAUAUCCCUAUGUGGUCUGAGAAGAUGACCACCCACUGUGGAUGUGACACACGGCCCACACUCCUACGGGGGGCAGCUGUGGGAAAUUUUGCACAGUGGGCGCGAGCCUGAUGCACCCGUGCCGCGUGUAUGAAAAAGGUCUUCGGUUUGUAAAGUUUUUUCCGCGGAGAAGAGGGCAGUGGGGUUAAUAACCUUUGUGAUUGAUUUUCCCCGGAGAAAAAGCCCCGGAUAUCUCCGUGCCAGCACCCGCGGUUAUACGGAGGGUGCAAGCGUUACUCAAAAUUACUGGGUGUAACGCGCACGCGCGCGGUCUGAUAACUCAUAUGUGAACUCCCCGGUCUUAAUGUGAGAACUGCAUUAGAAACUGGCGCGUGAGACUCUCGUAGAGGGGGGUAGAUUUACGUGUGUAGCGGAGAUGUGCAUAGAUAUCUGGAAGAAUACCGGUGGAAAACGCGCCCCUGUGCAAGAACAGUGACUCUCAUGUGAGAAAGCGUGGAGAGCACACGAGAAUAUACACUGUGAGAGUACACGGCAUAAACUGUGUCGACGUGGGGGGUGUUCUCGUGAAGAGUGUCUUCCAGAUCUAACGCGAUAACUCCAGCGUGUGGGAGUGUAGGGCACGGGGAAAAACUCAUGUGAAGUCAGGGGGCCCGCACAGCGGUGGAGCGUGUGGUAUAUUCUGUACACGAAAAACAUCAUCUACUCGAGACUCCAGAAUCUCGGAGAUACCCAUAGUGUCUCGGAAACGAGACACAGGCUCUGCGUGU
rnacentral:rRNA from 1 species